GGUUAUUAGCUGAGUGAUAAUUUCCAGAGCGUUCAGUUGUCUCGAACACCAACAGGUGUUAAAAACGUGUUUGAAAACGUACAGCGGUUUGCGAAAGACUAAGCGAGAAAAUAUAAUUUACAGCACUCCUAUAUUUGUGGAU